rnacentral:rRNA from 1 species
CCUACGGGCGGCAGCAGUGGGGAAUAUUGGUCAAUGGGCGAAAGCCUGACCCAGCACCGCCGCGUGAAGGAAGAAGGCUUUCGGGUUGUAAACUUCUUUUGACAGGGAAGAGCAGACGACGGCACCUGUCGAAUAACCCACGGCUAACUACGUGCCAGCAGCCGCGGUAAUACGUAGGUGGCAAGCGUUGUCCGGAUUUACUGGGUGUAAAGGGCGUGUAGCCUGGCUGACAAGUCCGUUGUGAAAUCCGGGGGCUCAACCCCCGAACUGCAUUUGAAACUGGAGGUCUUGAGUAUCGGAGAGGCAGGCGGAAUUCCUGGUGUAGCGGUGAAAUGCGUAGAUAUUAGGAGGAACACCAGUGGCGAAGGCGGCGUGCUGGACGACAACUGACGGUGAGGCGCGAAAGCGUGGGGAGCAAACAGGAUUAGAUACCCUUGUAGUC